rnacentral:lncRNA from 1 species
GCAUUCCCCAGAAGAAAGUUUAGCCAAGGUAUCUCCUGAGCAUGGCUCAUCCCUAGAAUGCUCUCUGCUGCAUCUCGCAUCCUGGAGAACCCGCUCUUCCACAUGCUUCUGCCUGGGAGGGCUAGAGUUCUUUGAGGACUGUUCAAAGUGCUUUGCUGAGUGCUGACACAAUUCUCUCAAAAAAUUCGUGUGCUUGGUACAGUCGAGGACACACAUGUGGGGACAUUGCCAACUUAUAGAUGUAUAAAAGAGAAAGGCAGCUGUCUUCAACCUGGGAUAAAGACUUCCCCCAGAUAAUUCCUGGGCCAGGAUGCUGACUUUGGACUUUUAACCUCAAGAAUGAACAUCCCAUACCUACAGCUCCAAUGACGCACAUGAGGAAGAGGAGGCCGAUGCAGAAGAAGAUAUCUGUGUUGAUGCGCCGCUCAAUUUUGCUGCGUUUGUAUCGGGGGCCACUAUUGUUCAGCAUGGCUUUUGUCUCAUGUCCUUUGAGAGAAAA